CAGCAAGAGGCACGGAUGCUCUUAAACCCUAACUUACGAGCAAGAGAUGGGAAACAAGGACGCCGUGCACAACGAGAUCCUCAGGCUCAAGAGGAUCCUCUUUGAAAAGCUCACGGAGAGCACUGCCAAUGCGGGAAUCGGGCUCACCAAUGUGUCCUUGACGCCGGCGCAAGAGCUGGGCCAGAAGAUGCUCGUCGAUGGAAUGCCAAAGGCUUUUGUUGAGUUUUUCGAGCUCACCACCACCUUGGAGCCCGAGCCGACCAACAAAGAGGACGAGGAAGCUGGCAUCAGGUUCCCCAUCGCCGAAGCUCAGAGAACGUUUAAGAAGAAGGAAGUCCAGAGCGUUUUGUGCGGCCAUCUUGUAGCAGCAGAGCGAGCUGCAAGAACAGGGAACAAUGAGAAGCUGUUCGUGGCACUGUCCGGCGUUGGAGCUCUGUUUGACAAGACGUGCUACUUCUCCACUGCGGUGGCCUACUUCGUGCGAGCUCUCGCCGCGGCCAGCAAUGUGACGAGCACACGGAACACCUUUCACGUAGCACAGCAAUGUUUAGGCAAAAUACAACCUUGGCAAGAUCUACUGGAAGGUGCGAAACAGUGGCGACGCCAUCAGCUGCUUUGAGGAUUGCUUGGGCCUCGCAAGCUUCAUAAACCACGGCCAGCUCGUCGUCAUGGCUGCAACUGAGCUCCUCGAGGAAGAAAACAGCAUGGAAAAGCUUGCAGGUCUACUGGCAUUGCGCCGAGGAGUGCCGACAAGAAGGCAACUACAGACAGAGCAUUUGCUACUUUGAAAAGGCAAGCCAGGAAAAACUAUAGAAAAACUUUGGAGAUGUGUGAAUUUUUCGUCGUGAUCACAGUGCGUGCGAGCUGCUGUGGCAUGUAGUAAUCCUGUUCAGGGAGGUGAAGCCAAGUACAACAUUGGACUCGAAUAUGGGAUGCUCAGGGAGACGCAAAACGCUGUGAAAUACCACAACGAGUACAUCGAUUUCUCAAGGAAGAUCAGGAACAAGGUACGCACGCGCGAGCCAUGCGUUAAGAUUGUCUUCGAGAUUUUUCUUCUCGCUCUCUCAGGCAGGAGAGUGCAAAGCUCACGCAGCUAUGUCGGAAACUUAUGAAGCCGCUGGCAAUAUAUCUGCAGCUGUGCACCAUCUCAAGGCUUACUUGCAAGCAGCGGCAUUUCUAGAUCCCGUCACUCUGGUAUUCCAUUCGUGCAAGCAAUCCAUGAGAGAUUUGGCUAGAAA